UACAGAGGGUGCAAGCGUUAAUCGGAAUUACUGGGCGUAAAGCGUGUGUAGGUGGUUAGAUAAGUUAGAUGUGAAAUCCCUGGGCUUAACCUGGGCACUGCGUUUAAGACUGUUUAACUAGAGUGCUGUAGAGGGUAGUGGAAUUUCCAGUGUAGCGGUGAAAUGCGUAGAUAUUGGAAGGAACACCAGUGGCGAAGGCGACUACCUGGACAGACACUGACACUGAGACACGAAAGCGUGGGGAGCAAACAGG
rnacentral:rRNA from 1 species